GCCAGAGUGGCGGAAUGGCAGACGCGCUGGAUUCAAAAUCCUGUGUCCGUAAGGACGUGUGGGUUCGACUCCCACCUCUGGUA
rnacentral:tRNA from 3 species